rnacentral:sRNA from 1 species
UGAUAGCGAUAGGCCUGUAGUUGGAC